UAUAGCUCAAUUCGUUGUAGCCCUUAAUAAAUAACAACACUCCUUCACCAUUUUAUUACAGUACUACUUUGAAUUAUGUCAUCACACUUCUGACAAGACAGCAACUGAAUGAAUGAUAGUGAAUGCGUUUUUUUUUUUCUGGGUCACCUUACUUUGGUAGAAGGCCAGUGUGUUAAAAAUGAAAACACAGAUGCUUGUGUCCAUGUCAAGAUUGUCAGUAAAGUUUCUCUGCCAUGGGCACUGUUAAUAGCAAGAUUGCCAGUGUCACUGACUGCUGUAUAGUUAUUAACUGAUGUCUCAGCAUUGAGCUGGAAUGAGAUUUGAUUAUUUUGAGUGCUAAUUUUCAUAUUUUUUACAAGAAAGCUAGGGUAGAGAUCAGUUAUAGUGUCAGUCUGUGAUUAGUUCUGUUUUCAGAGGAGUUAUGUUGGUCCAGAUAUGAUCAAGUGAGGAUGCGGUUAUCUCAGAAAUUCUUGUGGAAUUGCUUGCAGAUUUUCAACUUGUAUGAGGUUGAUGUUGAAGUCUUGAACAAUUAAGUGAUGCUUGUUCAGUUUAUUGUUUAUGAUAAAAGUUUUUAUUAAGGUUGACACUGAAGGUGGCAAUAUUAGUAUGUGGAAACCUGUAGACAGUUUCGAUUAUAAUUGAGGGUUUUUAAAUUUUUGGUUGUAAAUUGCACAAAUAUAUAUUUGCCAAAUUCAUCUCCCACUGUAUUUUGAGUAAUUCAUCUCAACUCAUUAGUGUAGUAGAUAGCAAUUCCACCUCACAUUUGAUCAGUCUGCAUUUAUGCUGCUGUCUAAGCUUAAAAUGCCUAUAUGUUGCAUUUAAGCCAAAUUUCUGUAAGAAAAAUGAAAGUUGUAUUAUCAUAUAAUGAAUUUAUGACUGCAGUAUUGUCAGUGUUUACCCAGGGAUCUGACAUUUUAAUUAAAUACUGAUAUAUUCUUGGUGUUGCUGCAGUUAUGAUCUGGAAAAAAAUGAUUUUAUAGAAAGCAGACAAGUAGAUUUAGUUGAAGGUCAAUAUUAAAAUACAUGUACAAGAUGAAUGCUAGUUUUGAUUAUAUAAAAAAUAGCAUAAAACUACAAUGUAGUGGAAAAUAAGAAUAUGAUGUAGUAUACUGAAAUGUACCAAAAACAUGUGAAUUACAAUUAAGAAUCAGUAAUACUAGGAAAAAAAGUUGAGAACCUCAUACAGGAGGGCCCUGCUUACACAUCAGGUUAGGUUCCAGGUUACCACCAUAAAAUAUAAAUGCAUGUUAUCAGGCAUAUAAAUGCCUGAUAACAUGUUAACACUAUCAUAUAUUAAGUUAGCAAUAGAACUAGGUAUAAAAUAACAGUAAAAAAGUAAAAUGCAUAUACAGUACACUUAUUACUUGCCUUAAAAUAUUUGUAGUCUUAACCUUUUGACUGUUGCAACCCCAAAUCCUGAGGUGUCUCCUGGUGUUUCAAAAUUUCAAAAAAAAAAAAAAAUCUUAUGAAAUGAUAGAGAAUCUUUUCCCAAUUGUAAUGACACCAAAAGAAUGAAAUUUGAUGGAAAACUGACGGAAUUACGCUCACGCGAAGUUAGCGACCUCGGCAGUAUUUACAAAUCGGCGAUUUUGCCCACUUUGAGCCCUAUUUUUGGCUAAUACCAUUCUUCCAGUUGACCAAACUCAUAGCUAUUUCUUUAGAACUCCAUAUUUUCUCUCGAUUGAGUACAAGAAACUGCCCAUUUACCGAUUUCAACUACCCAAUAAUGUGGUCAGAAAUUUGCAAUUUGGCCAAUUUCAUGAAAAUUAAAAAAAUAUAUGACAAUUUCAAAAUAGGGUCCAGAAUAAACAAUGCAGACAUUCCUGCCUCUAAAACAACAUUUUCUUUGUUCAUCAGCCAUGUCUCCAGGCUCCUCUGAUAUUACUCUUGCUUUCUAUUUUGAAUUUUUAUUCAAACAAAAAAUAGAAGAUUUACUGUUAUGCAGACUACUGCAAUAUUGUAAUAAUUGUAUAAAUAAUGACUGCAUAUUAGAAUGGUUACUUGGACAUUUAUUGGAAAAUGACAUCAUUUGUUUACUUUUGAACAUCUGCAAAAAUCAAACAUUUCUGCUAAUUUAAGCUCCAUUUCAAGGUUCUUUUCAUAGCAAAACCAAUCAAAAUCACCUCUAUUUCUAUAAUAUGUUUCCCAUUCUAUCAAAUGAGACCAAGAAAACGAGAAUACAACCAUAAAUACUAUACGAAAAUAGACCACAAAGUCGGCAUUUUAAUUUAAAAGAACGGUCGGAGUUUUUUUUUUUUUCGUUAUACACUACGUGCUGCAGAUUUUUUUUAUAUGGUGUACACUGACUACACAGACCCAUUCUCUCACAUGUGGGCAUACCAGCUUUCUCCUGCUUGAUUUGAAGCCGCUAGAAUUUAUGAGUAUACAUAUAUACGUGGCUCGUAAGACGUAUAUAUAUGACCAAAAGAGUCAAAGGGUUAAUGUAGGGUGAGAGGUGAGUAGUAUUUGUUGUAGGAAGUCAGGAGAAGAUGACACAUCUUCAUCCUCUGACACUUCAAGAAAUAAAAUCUUUAUCUUUAAUUUUAUUCGUUUUGAUGGAAACUUGGGUGAAGUGUGUGUUGUGGUUGAUGGUGAAGGCUGUUCAAGGCUAACUGUUGCUGUUGAAGGUUACCAUGAUACUUUCUUAAAGUAGGAAAGCAGUAAACUUUACCUCAUGGAUUUUUGUCUCCUUUCCCUUAAAAUUUCUUUAUAGCACUUAACACCAUUUAAAAGGGGUUGUAUUCGUUUUUAAACUUAUUUUGAAAUUUGGAUCAGUCUUCUCAAAUUUGCCAUUGCCAUUUCUACAUGGCUGAUAGCUUCUUUCAAAUCCUUGGAUAUCAUUUUUUAAAUGGCAACAGAACUAUCAUCAGCAUGGAUCUUCUCUUUAUGAAACUUUUUUUUCUUUGCUCUUCAAUCAGAUCUUUAUCUGUUAGGGCCUUAUCAUGAGAGAGAAGCAAUUCUUCCAUAUCCUCAGACUUAAAAUUAUAAUUACCAUAUCAUAUCCAUUCAUUUGUAGUGACAUCCUCCACUGGAUUUUCAAAGCCUUCAAAAUUGUCCAUAAGUUCAGGAAUUAGAUUCUUCCAUACACCUUCAGUGUAGUUUCUUUUGCUUCAUUCCAUACAUCUCUAAUAUUUUUAUUACCAUCGAAAAUCCUGAAACCUUUUAAUUUAUUUUGUUUAGGGCCAGGCAUUUUAUCACUAAGACAUUUACAAGCUUAGUGAAAGUUCUUGUUAGGUGAUAAGACUUAAAGGCUGCAAUUAUACCCUGGUACAUCGGUUGCAAUAAUGAAGUUGUGCUUGCAGACAUAGACAACCUACAAGAAGUAAAACAUUGAAAGGAAUGUUCUUUUCUUUGCGGUGAACCUCAGUUGUAGGGUUAAAAGAGUCUGUGAACCGGUUUAUGAAAAGAUCGGCAGUCAUUCAAGCUUGGGAAUUGUAUUUAAAAUGAACAGGGAGGCUACCUUUUGCAUAGUUCUUUAGGGUACUACAUAGGAUUCUCCGAGCUGCAUUAGCCCCUAGCAAGAGUGUUAGCCUGUCUUUUGCAGCUGUGAAGCCAGGCACUUCCAGUACCUUCUCUUCUUUAGCAGUGUCCUAGAGGGCAUCUUCCAAACUGAUGCAGUUUCAUCCAUAUUAAAAAUCUAUUGCUUGGUACAUCCACCACAUUUGAUUAUUCCAGCUAGCUCAUAUGGAUAAUUUUCUGCAGCUAAAGUAUUGGCGCUUGCUGCUUCACCCUGCACUUUGAUGAUGGGAAGCUAGCUUCCUUCCCUAAACCUUUGAAACCAGCCUCUGCUAGCUUCAAAUUUAUCUUCAGCAGCUUCCUCACCUCUCCCAGCCUUCAUAGAAUUAAAGUGACUUAGGGCCUUGGACUGGAUAAUGGCUUGGCUUAAAGGCACACUGUGACUAGUUUGAUCUUCAGUCCACACCAGUAAAAGUUUUCCAUGUCAUCAAUAAGGUUAUCACAUUUUCUUGUAACUUUAAUGUUUGCUAGUGUAGCACAUUUAAUUGCUUACAUCCCAUCUUGGCCAUCUACAUACCUUUUUCACUGAGUCUAAUAAUUUCUAACUUUCUUCCAUUCUCUAGCACACUUGGUUUUGGCCUCUCUACACCAAGGGCUCAUUCUGGUCUUCCCAUUUUUUCUGUUACCCCUGGGAACAAGCCUUUCCUCUGCCUCCUUGCAUUUUGUUGUUACGUAGUCCAACAUUUCAUUUACUGACUUUCCUACCAACUCUCUUUCCCAUUGAACCUCCUGCAGGAAAUUCCUUAUGCCCAUGUAGUCCCCUCUCUUAUAGUUUGGCUUCAUUUGUCCUGCUCUUCCUUCUUUCCUCUCCACUUGUAACUCUAUGUAUUCGAAGCUCAGAACUACAUGAUCAUUAGCCCCAAGGGGUUUUUCAUAUGUGAUGUCCUCAAUAUCUGCACUACUCAAAGUGAAUACUAUGUCCAGUCUUGCUGGUUCGUCCUCUCCUCUCUCUCAGGUAGUGUCCCUUAGGUGUUGAUGCAUGAGGUUUUCCAGUACCACCUCCAUCAUCUUAGCCCUCCAUGUUUCUAGGUCCCCAUGUGGCUCCAGGUUUUUCCAGUAAAUUUUUUUGUGAUUGAAGUUACUACAACCAGUAGUUUUGCCCUGCCCACGUGGACUCUUGUUGCCAUUUCAGCCUGUGUGUCAACCAUUGCUCUGUUACUCUCAUCAUAUUCUUGCCUUGGCUAUUCUGUGGUGGGUUAUACAUCAUGGCACUCACCAUUUUGGAACCUCCAGUCUGAAGUGUUUCUGAUAUGUAAUCCCUUGCUUCUCCUCUGUCUUCUCUCUCCAGCUCCUCAAAAUCCCUUUGGCUUUUGAUGAGCAGUGCCACUCCUCCCCCCUCUCUGUUUCCUAUGUCUUUCCUCAGGAUCUGAUAUCCACUUGGAAAGAUGGCAUCUGUUAUGAUUCCCAUGAGCUUGGUUUCUAUGAGAGCUAUGAUGUCUGGUGAUGCCUCUGUGAUUCAUGCCACUCCUCCCACUUAUUCGUUAUUCUCUCAUACCUUCUAUCAUACCAUACCUUCAGUUUCCUUCAACAAUAUAUUCUUUUGUGUGUGUGUGUGUGUGUGUGUGUGUGUGUGUGUGUGUGUGUGUGUACUCACCUAAUUGUACUCGCCUAAUUGUGGUUGCAGGGGUCGAGACUCAGCUCCUGGCCCCGCCUCUUCACUGAUCGCUACUGGGUCCUCUCUCUCUCUGCUUCCUGAGCUUUGUCAUACCUCUUCUUAAAACUAUGUAUGGUUCCUGCCUCCACUACUUCACUUGCUAGGCUAUUCCACUUGCUGACAACUCUAUGACUGAAGAAAUACUUCCUAACGUCCCUGUGACUCGUCUGAGUCUUCAGCUUCCAGUUGUGACCCCUUGUCCUCUGGAACAUCCUAUCUCUGUCCACCUUGUCUAUUCCCCGCAGUAUCUUGUAUGUCGUUAUCAUGUCUCCCCUGACCCUUCUGUCCUCCAGUGUCGUCAGUCCGAUUUCCCUUAACCUUUCCUCGUAUGACAUUCCCUUGAGCUUUGGGACUAGCCUUGUUGCAAACCUUUGUACUUUCUCUAACUUCCUGACGUGCUUGACCAGGUGUGGGUUCCAGACUGGUGCUGCAUACUCCAGUAUGGGCCUAACAUACACAGUGUACAGUGUCUUGAACGAUUCCUUAUUAAGGUAUUGGAACGCUAUUCUCAGGUUUGCCAGGCGCCUGUAUGCUGCAGCGUGUGUGUGUGUGUGUGUGUACACACACCUCUAAAUGUGCUGAAUCAGGUUCUGGCAGCUGUCAAAAUGACAUAUUGUACCAUUACUCACUCCCCCUACUGCCUGUCAAAACAAUGGGGUCCAAUGCUUGCUUCCCCUUCAUCCUCCUACCUAAUUAUCUUUCUUCUUCUUUCUUUCUUCUCCUUUCUCCUUUCUCCUAUUUCAUUCUUUCAUUCUCUUUCAUUCUCCUUUCUCUUUCUUUCUUCUGGUAUCCUGGGCAUUGCUUUUGGUCACAAACUCCUUCAAACCAUGAAAUUGAUCUUCACUGACACUUCCAUCUGUGUUAGAGCGAUCACUUGGGAAGAGAAGUCCCAGAUUUGCCAGGAGUCACAUAUUUCUUACCUCUAGGUAUGCUGAACAAGGACUACUGAAAUGGCAUUCCCACAGUGCACCGCUGGCUCCGCAAUUUUUUUUUUAUAUGGCGCACACUGACCAUGGGUACCCAUUGUCUCACAUGUGGGCCUACCAGCUUUCUCCUGCUUGAUUUGAAGCCACUAGAAUUUUGGCGUAUUAAUACGUCAAACACAUUGGCUCGUAAGACGUGUAUAUACGACCAAAACAGUCAAAGGGUUAACUAGUCAGACGUUUGGCUCAGACCUUUAACUAGCCACGUGUGUGUGUGUGUGUGUGUGUGUGCGCGCGCGUGCAUGUGUUACUAGUUAAUGGUCCAAGUCGGACCAAAAUGUUAUCAUAGGUUUCGGUCUCCUAUGUGUAGGGUAUUAAUGUAUAGAUUCUUAAUUGUUAUAAAGGUGCAGAUUUACACCUGCACAAAAUAAAACUUUGCUGAGGUUUUUAUCUUUGUUAUGUGUGUCAGCAAAGUAAGUUUUAAGCCAUUCAAAAUAGGGUUUAAAAGUUAUUUCCUAGAGUAAAAAUACCAUAACUUUUAGAAAAUUUAAUAGAGGUAUUUGGCAUGUGCACUUUGCAAUAGCAAUAUGAAGUUUUCUUGCAUAAGAUGCACUAGUAUUGAAAGUUUAAAACCAGUCAGAAAAGGAAUUCUCAGGUUAUUGCAUGGAAGCCAAAAUCACAAUUUGGUUAUGUAAUUGACAGAUUAACACCUACACAUUCCUAUAACAAGUGGAAAUUUCCUCUUAAGUAAAAUACGAUAGUGUUGAAUGUUUGAAGCUGAUUAGAAGAGACAAUCUUAAAUUCCCAUGUGGAAGCCUGGAAGAAAUAAAAAUAAAAAUCUGAGUCACACAGCUGAUCUACAUAAACACUGCAAGGUAAUUCUACUGCUUGAUAACUGCUCUGCUUGUCCACCUAAGGUGCAAAUACUUUAAAAUGCUCUGAAUAUUUUUUAUGGAAUAGAUACAACCUAACAAAAUGUUCAUAGAUCAAGGUACAUUUGCCAGUUUGAAAUGCCAUUUAUUACAAAUGAAUAAAUAGUGACUUCCUGGAUUUCAUGAAACCCAUAUAAAAAAUUAAAACAAUUUACCAUAAAAUUGCUCCCAAUUGCAUUGCAAAGUCAGUGAGGUAGAAUUAUGACCCUGAUCAUUAUAUGGUGUAAAAUAUGACCUGCUGGUAUGCUUUGUCAAGAUGAUUCAGUUGAUGUAGUUUUUAAAGGGUUCAGCAAAACUUCUAAUGCAAAUUAAAAAAAAAAAACAAUGCCAAAAAAAAGCUGUGAAAUGAUGUCUAACAUUUUGAACUGAUAAAACUGUGAUAAAGAUCUUCUUUUCAUGAAACAUUCACACCAUUGAUUUUAUAUGUCGGAAAUGUAAAUAACUCGCAAAUUGGCAAAAUUCAUGUAAGCAUUGAGGAUGUAGGUGCUAAAGGUACUGAUGUAACAUUAGAAAAGAUUAUAGCCAACUUUGAGGAAAUGGCAGUCUGUGUGCAAAAUAAAUCAUACAUAGCUAAUCGUCAAGUGGUACUGGUGACUAGGUUGAGAGAGAUGUACAAAUGUUGGAGAAUUCUUGGUUAAAAAAGCAGCCCCUGGUGAUGUCAUUAUUUAAGAAGGUACUACUUGCUUCAACAAGCACUCCAGUUGCCUGCACUUCAAGUAGUGCUGACGCUUAGAUGGUGUAGCUACCCUUGUAAUGUACAAGAGGACAGCACAUUCAGCAUUUGAUGAAAAAUCGAGCAGUGACACAGUGGAGGAAUGGGGGCGAGCUUUCCCUUUCUUUCUGCUAGUUUUCUUCUCCAAGACAACCUUAAAGUUUCCUCAAGCAAGUGCGAGAAAAAAAAUUUGUGUUCUGUUUCAGGAACAAAGGUUGAAAGACAAUUACUCAAAGCCUCAUAGAUUGCAGGUUUCAAAGGAGUGUGGUUUUUGUGACUUGAUCAUGUAACCAUUCUUUGACUAGGUAAAUCAUGGUGAAAAAGUGAAAUCACUUAGUAACUGGCAAGACCUGAGGUAUUUCUAUAUAGAUAGUUUUUUAAUAGUUUGUUUUAUAUAGUGGGAGAUAUGGAAUGAAAUGCUUGUUGAAGACUUUUUAUAAUGUAAUUUUUUGAUAUGUCAGAUUAAUUCAUGUACAGUAUUUUCAUCUUUAAUAAGAGAAAAUAAAAUGUUACACAACAAAUUGAAAGAGCCAGAGAAUAAAUAUCAUAUGAUUUAGUCACAUCAACAAUAUACAAAUACAUUGUGUUUUGGUAAAAUUAAAUGUGGACAAAUUGUGAAUAUUCAAUUCUAACCUUCACAUUAGGAAUUUCUUGUAACUCGUAGCUUAAUAGAAGGAAUGAAGUGCAAGACGAGUGAGAGUGAGUGUACGUGUUUGAGAGAAUGAGUAUGAGAGGAAGAUAGUAUAUCUGCCCAAUUUUGUACCUGAUUCCUAAUUUAAAUGUAUGUAGAAUACUUAUCAAUUAAUAUACAUUAAAGUCACAGUGAUGAACGUCGAAUGCAAAUUCAUAUUGGCUUUUAUUAAGGAUUGCCAAAUGUGAGUUUUUAAAAAUUCUGUGCCCAAUUAGAGUACAAUGUUUUUUCUUAAGCUUUCUAUUAUAUAAUGGAUUAAAAUUUAAUAAUUGUUGUCAAUCUUUUUAAAAAUUAAAGGAAUGAUAAUUUUUUGUGAGAUAUACAUAGCUUUUGUAAAAUAUUUUUCAGUAAAAGAGUAUUGUGCUUGAGUAUAUCAGGUAGUUAUUUGAACAAUAUAUUAUUUGUGCAUGCCUCAGACAGGUCUUUACUUUGCUUCCAUAUAAUUUUUAUCAUUUUUGUCAGUGAAGAUGAAUGACCACUUUUAAAGCAGUUACUUUUACCUGAAAGUAGGCAUGUAAUUGGGUUAUUAUUUUUAUAUUUGAAGUCAAAAUAUUGGUUAGGUUUAGAAAACAAAGGGGAAGGUGUGUAAAUUCAAAAUACCUGAAAUGAAUUUUCUUUGUUAAGCAGUACAUAGUAAUUAGUAUGGGUUGUUACUUAUAGAAUAUAUACAAAAUGAUAAUUGAAUAACAACAUUAAACAGUUCUAACAAAGCA